rnacentral:lncRNA from 1 species
CCUCUGCCUCCCGGGUUCAAGUGAUUCUCCUGCCUCAGCCUCCCGAGUAGCUGGGAUUACAGGCGUGUGCCACCACACUUGGCUAGUUUUUGUAUUUUUAGUAGAGACGGGGUUUCAUCAUGUUGGCCAGGCUGUCUUAAACUCCUGACCUCAGGUGAUCCAUCCACUUCAGCCUCCCAAAGUGCUGGGAUUACAGGCACGAGCCACCGUGCCCAGCCCACCUGCUCUUAAAAUAUUAAAAUAUUUUCAUCUGUUUUGAGCUAUCCAAGUAACAUCCUCCCAUCCCUGCUCUCUGGCCUUCCUAGCUUCCCGGCCUCUCUCUAUUCUCCCCCAGACCUCCCCACAAUCCAGCACUCAAUGUGUUAAGGGGGCCCCUCGGACCCUGUCCAGUACUAAAGUUGUGGGAUAGUUCUGAUGGAUUGGUGUCCCCACAAUACCAGGAUGGUAUAUGUUUUACACAUCAACCCUGGGUGGGAAGCAGUAAGAGGUGUCUAUCCAGCAAGGUCCAAGUUAGAAAAAAAGUGUGUGUAUGUGCAUGUGUGUGUGUGUCAGCAGAUUGGGGCACAUAGUCCAAGGCUGGAGUCCAAGGCUCCUGCCCUCUCUGGUCCUCAGUCUCCCCACCCGUAAGGAGAGUGGGUGAAGUCGUCCCUUCUCUGUGAUGUCUGUGGUGUCCCAGUCCCUCCCUGACCUGGAGGUGGUGCUUUGCUUCAUCUGGAAUGCCCAGGGAGUGAGGCCAGGUGGGACAGUGACAGUGCAUGUGUGGGGUGCAGCUGGGACCUGGGGGGCAUCUUUCCCCCAGGAUGCUCCCAUUGUGCUCUGACGGCUCUGCUCCCUCUGUGCCUUGAGUUAUGUGGAACUCAAGAGACGUGUUCUUCCUAACAGAUGUCACCACCAGCUACUAGACUCAGUUUGCCUAGAGCCAGCAUGCUCUCCAGGUAGAAUAUUGAUUUGAGAAGGCUGGCCUGGCUUGUGUUCAUUAAGGGUGAAUUGGCAUACAUUUCUCAAUAAGCUUAAGUAGGUAAGUAGAUAUAUAAUUUGUAGAAGAGUAUUAUCCUUUCUCCCUCUGAAAUAGUAAUAUGAGGGAAGCUGAUUCAACAAAAGAGUCCAAUCCAAAAAAAGCAAAUCAGAGAAUCAGUACAGAUGAAAAAGUUCUUAAGGAUUGAAGCUUACAAUUCACAGCAGUCUUGAACACUCUGAAAGGGGUCAAAGUGUCCCUGGUGCCUUAUUUCAUAUGAGUGUUUUUUUUUUAAACUUAGCUUAUAUUUUUCAUAAUGCAACUUAAAUAGAUGUAAUAACUUAUGCCUUUAAGGAACUCAAAUAGGAAACCAAAACAAAUCAAACCAAUGAAAGUAAGAAAAUUUAUUUUAAUCAUGUACGUGUAAAGUUGAUGGCUGGGGGUGGUGCUUAUGGCACACAGGGUGUUAAUAUAUUUGGAAUAUCACUUUGGGUGUGUGUGUGUGUGUGUGUGUGUGUGUGUGUGCACGUGCAUAGGAGGUUCAGUUCUUCGGAGAGUCAUGUCAGGCCUGUCAGCAGGAAUGCCCACGCUGCAUCUGUGCACGUCUGCGAGCUGCCUGUGGGCCCAGCUGCAGGGUCUUCUGGACUGUGUCAGGCUACUGCCUGCCGGGGAUGACAGGAUUCAUGUGGACUCCAAGGAAACCUUUAAAUCUAGCUGUUGAACAAUAUGAGGGCAUCUUAUCCAGACCCAGUCGCAGAAUAGAGGCACAUUGCCGAGUUCUGGGCAGCUGAUGUUGUUUUUUCCUGCUGGGAAGAGCAAGUUCCUGGGGGUCUGGUGGGAGGCUGGGCUCCCCUUCCUCACUUGCCAAACCAGGCUGUCAGGACCAAUGCUCUCAUCCAUCUUCUUUGCCAGAUCCAACGUCUAACCUUGGACUGAUUAUACACAAAAUAUUUUUUUGGGUCAGUGAACAUUUUUUUUUCAAUAAGAAAUGUAUAAUAAAUUCGAAAUGUGAUAAGAAUGUCAGUAACCUUUGUAUUCAUUGAUCACAUUUCCUCAGCUGACAUUCCUUGUGAAGUCAGGCACUGGGAGGUGAAUUCCAUAUUUAAGACGGCAUAGCGUGGCCAGAGCUAGUUUCAUGUCCCAGUGAAAUCAUUGACAGAGACAGGUUGUGGAGGCUGGUCACAGGGGAUGUGGCCCCAUAGUUCCAACAGGCCACCUUGCGCGUGCCAAUGCCAAGUGCAUGCCAACGCCAAGCACGUGCCGCAGCUCUGAAAUACACCUCAGGGUGCCCUUUCCUAGCGUUCUGUGCUUUCACCCUGUGUCUGGGUCUCAGCAGCGAGGAGAUGGACUCAGGGAUCUCCUCGCCCUCCCUAUGCCUGUACCUUUUUCUGUCCUGCCUUGCUUUCCCCCCCUCUCUCCCAUCUGUGUCUCUGCAGACCUAAAGAGGAGUCUCCAUUCCAGGCCCUGCGGGAGGAUUUCUGGGCCCUUGGGUGGGAGUGACUCCUCUGCUAAACUGUUCGUGAAGUUCCCUGGAACUGGUGAGCCGCUACCGCGCCUGGAUUGUAGCUGAAGUUCCCUGGAACUGGUGAGCCGCUACCGCGCCUGGAUUGUAGCUGACGGGCCUGUGGCAGCUUCCAUCCGAGACGAACUCCAAGAAUUUCCGCUGCUGGCAGUGACCUCCAGGGCUGGGAGGAACAGCUGCAUCUGCCUCCAGGAAUGUGAGGUCUGAGACGCCAUGCCCAGGAAUGCCUCCAUGGGCUUGCAGUUUCGAUUCCAGAAAAUUCAGAGGGUUCCAGACCCCUGCCCCUUUCCUUCUUUCUCCCUAAGUGUGAAGCUACCCAGGCCGCCCUCGGGGAGAUUUUUCUGGAGGGAAAUAUCCUGGAGAGUUGGAUUUGAAACACCUUAGCAGCCAGAGGGACUUUACCAAUAGGUGCCACCCAUGCUCCUGGCUAAGGCCUGAGUGGAGUGGCUUGGGGAAGUCACCUGCCCUCUGUGGUCCUCGCCCCGUGAGGGUCCCAGCUCUUGGAGCUAUUGACUGAUUUUCACGGGUGGCGAGGUAAGUUUGGAAACCACAUCACCCUCUUGGAGCCUCACCAUUCGAGUCAGCAGAGCAGAGGCUCUGACAAGUUCUUCAAUAAGAACUCAUUUUAUUUAAGCAAGCGUUUACCAAACUUGUUUGUCCACAUAACCUUCUUUCGGAAGUGACAUGGAUUACCAUUUCAGACAACUGGAUUUCUACAAAACACCCAUUGUAAAUGCUGGCCUGGGUGUUUUCUCUGAGGGCCCCUUAGCUUUCAGAUUGCCCUGUAUAAAGCCUCAGGGUGGCUUAGUCUAUCAAAACCUCUCCUGAGGGCAGGUGUGAGAGAAGAAGGAGGAAAGUGAGGUUUAGAGUUCCCAGUGAUAGUGCUGGUGAGGUAGUGGGGAGAGGGGGCAGGUAUGGGGUGUGCCAGAGAGACAGAGAGAAGCAGGGAGAAAGAGAAGGAGAGAGGAAGAGAUUGUGACCCUCCCACGCUCUCCCUCCAGGCCCAUCACUGAUUAAUCCCUGUGCUGCCCUGCUGGGGUAGCUUGUACAGGAGCCAGCAGCUUCUCCUGGGGGAGAAGGUCCCCAGGAACGAAGCCUCCAUGAAUCAUUGACUGUCCUUCUAUUGUGCUGGAACCAGCUGGGGCUGGUGUCCGUGCCAAGCUCCUGGAGCUGUGGGCAAAGGUGGUGCAGGCUGGGGGUGAGCCCAGGCAGAGCUACGGCCUCAUCCAGACGCUUCCAAAAUAGGCCAAUCCCAGCCCAUCUGGAUGGGCUCUGCACACCGAGACUCCCUUGCUCCCGAGCCACUGCAGCCAGUGGAAGUAGAGUGAGCACUGGGCUAGGAGUCAGGGCCCAGAGUUCCAGGCUCCCCUCUGCUACUGACUCACCAUGGCACCUCGAAGGAGCCCCUUCUCCUUUCUCGGCCUCAGUGUCCCCAUGUAGACAUGGGGAUUGAAUUUGAGAGUCCUGAAAGACACUCCCGGCAGUCUACGUGUUGGCCCUGGAGCCUUAUUAUUGAGACCCCAGCUGAUAUCCUGCAGCUCUGCCCUAAAUCACACCUCACGGGCUCCACGCUUGCUCAGCUUCACUAUCAGGGACACACAGAGGGACGGGGGUCUGGGGACCUUUCUCAGAGGCUCCGGCAUCCCAGCGACCAGCGUUAGGUGGGGCCACUGUGACGGUCCACUUGUAAAAGGGGUAGGCCUGAACUCACCCGAGGGGACCUGCUGCCCCUGCCGCUGCCUUGCUGUGUGACCCUGGGCAGCCUCUCCUUGUGCUGAGGCCCCCAUAACACAGCCCUGAGAGGAAGGCCUGAGGUGGCUGCUGUGUGCUCUCACUGUGGCGGGGCCUCUCUCUGGCCCUGCUGCAGGAGCCAAGAGCCAGUCCUGCCUGCCCGCCUGUGGGAGGAGGAAGCCCGUGCGACCCUCACAGGCCUGGCUCUCAUUCCAUACACUCUGGGGCUUAUCCGGGUGGAAACAUCACCCUGGCACCUCAGCCCAACUCGUGGGGAAGCUGCCAGAGAGGCCCCUUUCCCGGGUCCUCCCAGGGGAACCAUUUUCAAAGCUGAGAGCUUAGCACUCCCAGGGAGACCGUCUUCAAAGCCCUGCCCACGUGCCCACACCGCCCCUACCCUCUGCUGCUGGAUGCUAAUCCUUCGGGGACCCCUGCAGGGCAGGUUCUGGGGCUUAAUGCAUUGAGGAGGGAGUUAGGCUCCUUAGCAGGUGGGGCUGAGGCAGAAGCUUCCUGUUGGCGUGGUUGUCCUGGGACCGCCGUGUCUGCCUGUGGGGAUACUCGGGUUCAUGAUAAGAGAAAGCCAGAUGAGAGCUGGAGGUGAUGGGGUUUAACCAAAGCCCCGACACCUGCAUCAUCAUAGAGCUGGGAACACUGAGGCCAGAGAGAUGGGACCUGCCCCAAGUCACCUCUGGCCUCAGUCGCAGAGAUGGGACUGGAGCUCUUUCUGCUGCCCUGAGCUAGCGUUGGCCCUCACCUCUGAUUGCCUUUUACUGUGACCAUUUCUCAUUUCUGCUUUUCUCUGCCCAUGGGGGACAGUCCUACACCAUCCCUGCCAAGGCCUUUACAGCCCCCCAAAUGGUCCUAAGCACAGGCACGAUCGCCAGCUCACCUGUCCUUGCUCUGAGCACCGCCAUCCCUGCUGGCCUCUCUUCCACUGUGAGUCCCAGGAGACAGUUCCAGGGGCAAAGAAACAUUCGCUGAACAAAGAAGAGGAGAAAACAGUGUUCAGGGGGCCCGGGCCUUGUAGGCUGGGCAUUCUGGCCAGGCCAGGGGCACUGGUUCCCCAGGUGCCUAGUGGAAGGCCUGUGGUGUAGGAGCAGAGGCCAGAGGAGCUGCUGGGGAGGAGGCUGGCCUGGGGGAGCUGAGCAAACUCAUGAGACUCAGAGCUCUGGGUGCCUGUGAUUUCAGGAUAGAGUCUGGGCUUUGGAGAUCAGGGGUCCCUGACUUGGGUCAGAGGGGAGGCUAGAAUCCUCAGCGUGGUCAGCGAGGGGGCAAAAGGAGCACCGUUUGCAAAGUCCCUGCCGUGUAUUUGGCACCGCGCAGGAACUGCAUUUCAUGUUUACUGCUUGGCUUGAUACUCACAAAUGAGCUGAGAGUUAGGGAUUACUCAUUCAUUCAUCCAAGAAAUAUUUAUCAAGCUCUUACUAUUUGUCAAGCACCAUUCUGGGUGCUGGGUAUUGAAGAAAACAGACAAUGUUUGCAUUUUAUAGAUGAAGAAACUCUAAAUCAGAGAGGUUAGGCAAGCACCCAAAGUCACACAGCUGGAAAGGUCUGGGACUAAGUUCUUUGCCUUUGUCUAUAAUGGUUGGGCAGAAAGGCAGGGCGGUGGAGUAGAGAGGGCCCGAUGGCCUUGCUAUGUGAGCAAGAGCAAGUCACUUCCCCUCCCUGGACCUGAAUUUCCUCAGUAGAUUUUGAGGCCUUUGGCCAAGCAGUCUGGAAUAGCUCCUGUGGGCAAAAACUGAAAUUAAAAUUUUACAUGGGAUAGCUACUGAUUUUUGAGCAUGUUCUGUGCAUCAGAUCGUGGAGUGUCUAUGGGGAGCCAUUGAAGGUUCCUGAGCAGGGGUCGGGGGAGCAUCCCUGAACUACUCUUGCCCUUGGGCCCUUCCCAGUUCUCCAGGACCUCUUGUCCUAGGGUUAUCAGGGGAAGCAGCUGAAGCUUUGGACAAACAGUAGGGGCAGGCAGGGACACAGGGACAUAUGGUUUAUAAAUAAGGGAGCUGGGUGGGGCAGGGAUGGAUUGGGUGGGAAGGGUGACGGUUGAGCUGCAGGGAGAGGCCAGGAGAAGGCCUCAGGAGACGUACAUCUGCUCCUGGUACUCACCACCCCCCAUCACCCUGGGGGCAGCCCCCUCCUCUGAUCAGAGCUGACUCUAGCAUCCCCUGUGUCCAGCCCCAGGCUCAGCAUCUCUGAAGGGGGCACCAGGGGCCGGAGCUCUGGUCUAGCCCUCCAGGUCCUCCCAGAGGGUACCAGGGCUGCUUCCUCCAUGAAGUCUUCCAUGCUGAGUCCAGCUUAUCUUGACCACACCAGUACACAUCACCAAGCCACCCAGGACUGCUGCCUGCGCCUGAAGGAAGGACAGCGUGGGGCGCAGGAGAGGGACUACACCCCAGCCAAAGGAGUCGCUUCCAGGUCCCCCAGCAAGGGAGAUUUGGGCCAAAUAUCCAGAAACUGCUGAUCCCCAAGGCCCAUCCACCAGCUCCAAGCCCCCGGCCCCAGGUCUGGGCACCCUUCAGCCUGCGCAUGCCUGGCGCCAUCCUGAGACCGGGAGCUGCUUGUCGCCGUCGGGAAGAGGCGGCAGUUGCGCGUCAUCACCACCAGGGGGCACCAGUACAGGAGGAAAGCAUCACUCUUUCAUCAUUUAACAUAAUGGCUGUAGGUGUUUUACAGGUGCUCCUUUGUCAGCCAUGCUGGCAGCUGAUUGGCUGGUGCCUGUCCACAGUGUGGGUGGAUCUUGCUGAGGGUGAGUCUUCUUCUCCCAGUCCACUGACUCAAAUGUUAACCUCUUCUGGAAACACCCAGAAACAUCCAGAUACACUCAGAAACAAUACUUUGCAUCCUUCAAUCCAAUCAAGUUGACACUUAAUAUUAACCAUCACAGUGCUCUUUAUAUAUCCUGGAUAUUAAUGCUUUAUCAGAUAUAUUAUUUGCAAACAUUUUCUCUGAUUCUGUGGAUUGUCUUUUCACUCUCUUGAUUAUGUUCUUAGAUUCCCAUAAGUUUUUAAUUUUGGCAAUGCCCAAUUUAUCUAUUUUUUCUUUUGUUGCCUAUACUUUUGGUAUCAUACUUAAUUAACCAUUGCUAAACCCAAGGUAAUGAAGAUUUUCCCUUAUGUUUUCAUUUAACAGUUUUGGCUCUUAAAUUUAGAUCUUUAUCCAUUUAUUUUGAGUUACAUUUUGUAUAGGGUGUAAAGUAAAGGUCUAACUUCAUUCUUUUGCAUAUGAGCAUCCAGUUUUCUCAACAUUGUUUGUUGAAAAGACUGACUUUUCCCCACUGAACGACCUUCACAGCCUUGUCAAAAAUAAAUUGGCCAUAUAUGUGAGGGUUUAUGUCUGGCUCUGUAUUCCAUUCAU